ACCAGACUCCUACGGGAGGCAGCGGUGGGGAAUAUUGCACAAUGGGGGGAACCCUGAUGCAGCGACGCCGCGUGGGUGAAGGAGUAUUUCGGUAUGUAAAGCCCUAUCAGCAGGGAAGAACAAUGACGGUACCUGACUAAGAAGCACCGGCUAAAUACGUGCCAGCAGCCGCGGUAAUACGUAUGGUGCAAGCGUUAUCCGGAUUUACUGGGUGUAAAGGGAGCGUAGACGGCGACGCAAGUCUGGAGUGAAAGCCCGGGGCCCAACCCCGGGACUGCUCUGGAAACUGCGUCGCUGGAGUACGGGAGGGGCAGGCGGAAUUCCUGGUGUAGCGGUGAAAUGCGUAGAUAUCAGGAGGAACACCGGCGGCGAAGGCGGCCUGCUGGACCGUGACUGACGUUGAGGCUCGAGAGCGUGGGGAGCAAACAGGAUUAGAUACCCCUGUAC
rnacentral:rRNA from 1 species